rnacentral:rRNA from 1 species
AGGGUUUGAUCCUGGCUCAGAUUGAACGCUGGCGGAAUGCUUUACACAUGCAAGUCGAGCGGCAGCGCGGGGCAACCUGGCGGCGAGCGGCGAACGGGUGAGUAAUGCAUCGGAACAUGUCCAAUUGUGGGGGAUAGCCCGGCGAAAGCCGGAUUAAUACCGCAUGAGCCCGAGAGGGGAAAGUGGGGGACUCGCAAGAGCCUCACGCGAUUGGGUUGGCCGAUGUCCGAUUAGCUAGUUGGCGGGGUAAAGGCCCACCAAGGCGAUGAUCGGUAGCUGGUCUGAGAGGAUGAUCAGCCACACUGGGACUGAGACACGGCCCAGACUCCUACGGGAGGCAGCAGUGGAGAAUUUUGGACAAUGGGGGCAACCCUGAUCCAGCCAUUCCGCGUGAGUGAAGAAGGCCUUCGGGUUGUAAAGCUCUUUUGUCCGGAACGAAACGGGUAAGGCUAAUACCUUUGCCUACUGACGGUACCGGAAGAAUAAGCACCGGCUAACUACGUGCCAGCAGCCGCGGUAAUACGUAGGGUGCGAGCGUUAAUCGGAAUUACUGGGCGUAAAGCGUGCGCAGGCGGUUUUGUAAGCCAGAUGUGAAAUCCCCGGGCUCAACCUGGGAAUGGCAUUUGGGACUGCAAGGCUUGAGUGCGGCAGAGGAGACUGGAAUUCCUGGUGUAGCAGUGAAAUGCGUAGAAAUCAGGAGGAAUACCGAUGGCGAAGGCAGGUCUCUGGGCUGACACUGACGCUCAUGCACGAAAGCGUGGGGAGCAAACAGGAUUAGAUACCCUGGUAGUCCACGCCCUAAACGAUGUCGACUGGUUGUUGGGGGUUUGACACUCUCAGU